GGAAAAAGGCAUUUGAUAUUAAAGUAAUUUUAAUGAAUGGAUUCAGAGUCUGACAAUAGAUGUCAACAAAAAAAAAAAAAAAAAAGGAAGGGGGUAGGUUAUACUGACCCCUCAUAAGCAGAGGUAAAAAGAUUUUUUAUAUCAUAUGACACGUGGAUCACUCUUUCCUAGUAUACUUCAAUAUUACCAAUAGUUUAGGAGAUUCCAGAAGCAAUGUAACUGCAAAUAUAUUUUGUUAAAAAACAUUUAUAACUUUCAUCAUCAAAUUUACACAGCAAAUAAUUUUGUAUACCCAUAAUUAUAAUAGUUCAAGCCUUCCUAGCUUACCAUAUAUCCUUAACACAUUGUUUUCUCACUAUUCUUGUAGAAAUGAGCUUCAACUAAUUACUAAAUAUAGUCAGAAUACGUUUUUAAUGUAGUAAAAGAUAUGUUGUAAUUAUGCAUUCUGUUUCAUAUAUAUUUAUGUGUAGAAUGAUUUUAGAGAAAUAUCUUGUUCACUUGUUAAAAUAUUACUGAACUAUGUUUAAUAUCAACUUAACAUUUCAUUUACCAAAUACUUGGUUUUAUUAGACCUAUUCAUUUCAUGACAUCACCUCAGUUUUUUAUACUUCUGGUUUUCCAGAUUAUUCUAUUUCUCUAUAGCAUGGAGAAAUACAUUGGAAAAUAUAUGCAAUAAUCAUGUAUGUGUAUGUUGAAGUGGGCUACAUGUCAUGGAAGACUGUUUUUCUUGUGGUCUAGUCUUUUCUUUUUCAUUAACCAAGGACAUAGAACUAAUAUACUCUCCUUGACUUCUGUAAAAGCAACCUUAUUUUUGCUUCUCCCAUUAAAAGGAAAAUAAAGCAUAGUAAUUCCUACUUUAUAUCUUUUAAGUAAUUAUUUUUAUAAAUUUAUUUUUA
rnacentral:lncRNA from 1 species